rnacentral:rRNA from 1 species
CAGCAGCCGCGGUAAUACGGAGGGGGCUAGCGUUGUUCGGAAUUACUGGGCGUAAAGCGCACGUAGGCGGACUGGAAAGUCAGAGGUGAAAUCCCAGGGCUCAACCUUGGAACUGCCUUUGAAACUACCAGUCUGGAGUUCGAGAGAGGUGAGUGGAAUUCCGAGUGUAGAGGUGAAAUUCGUAGAUAUUCGGAGGAACACCAGUGGCGAAGGCGGCUCACUGGCUCGAUACUGACGCUGAGGUGCGAAAGCGUGGGGAGCAAACAGGAUUAGAUACCCCUGUAGUCCCUGUCUCUUAUAA